rnacentral:rRNA from 1 species
AUAGCGUAUAUUAAUAUUGUUGCGGUUAAAAAGCUCGUAGUUGGAUCUCGGUUUCGGGCGAGUGGUGCACCUUGCGGUGUUUACUGCCUGCCCGGACGAUUUUGUUGGUUCGUUUAUGGUUCUCUUAACCGAGUGCCAUAAGUGGCCAGCACGUUUACUUUGAAAAAAUUGGAGUGCUCAAAGCAGGCGCUACAGCCUGAACAUUAGUGCAUGGAAUAAUGGAAUAGGAUCUCGGUUCUAUUUCGUUGGCUUUCGGAGUCGAGGUAAUGAUUAAGAGGGACAGACGGGGGCAUUCGUAUUACGGUGUUAGAGGUGAAAUUCUUGGAUCGCCGUAAGACGAACUACUG